GGUUAAGCGACUAAGCGUACACGGUGGAUGCCCUGGCAGUCAGAGGCGAUGAAGGACGUGCUAAUCUGCGAUAAGCGUCGGUAAGGUGAUAUGAACCGUUAUAACCGGCGAUUUCCGAAUGGGGAAACCCAGUGUGUUUCGACACACUAUCAUUAACUGAAUCCAUAGGUUAAUGAGGCGAACCGGGGAACUGAAACAUCUAAGUACCCCGAGGAAAAGAAAUCAACCGAGAUUCCCCAGUAGCGGCGAGCGAACGGGGAGCAGCCCAGAGCCUGAAUCAGUGUGUGUGUUAGUGGAAGCGUCUGGAAAGGCGCGCGAUACAGGGUGACAGCCCCGUACACAAAAAUGCACAUGCUGUGAGCUCGAUGAGUAGGGCGGGACACGUGGUAUCCUGUCUGAAUAUGGGGGACCAUCCUCCAAGGCUAAAUACUCCUGACUGACCGAUAGUGAACCAGUACCGUGAGGGAAAGGCGAAAAGAACCCCGGCGAGGGAGUGAAAAAGAACCUGAAACCGUGUACGUACAAGCAGUGGGAGCACGCUUAGGCGUGUGACUGCGUACCUUUGUAUAAUGGGUCAGCGACUUAUAUUCUGUAGCAAGGUUAACCGAAUAGGGGAGCCGAAGGGAAACCGAGUCUUAACUGGGCGUUAAGUUGCAGGGUAUAGACCCGAAACCCGGUGAUCUAGCCAUGGGCAGGUUGAAGGUUGGGUAACACUAACUGGAGGACCGAACCGACUAAUGUUGAAAAAUUAGCGGAUGACUUGUGGCUGGGGGUGAAAGGCCAAUCAAACCGGGAGAUAGCUGGUUCUCCCCGAAAGCUAUUUAGGUAGCGCCUCGUGAAUUCAUCUCCAGGGUAGAGCACUGUUUCGGCAAGGGGUCAUCCCGACUUACCAACCCGAUGCAAACUGCGAAUACCGGAGAAUGUUAUCACGGGAGACACACGGCGGGUGCUAACGUCCGUCGUGAAGAGGGAAACAACCCAGACCGCCAGCUAAGGUCCCAAAGUCAUGGUUAAGUGGGAAACGAUGUGGGAAGGCCCAGACAGCCAGGAUGUUGGCUUAGAAGCAGCCAUCAUUUAAAGAAAGCGUAAUAGCUCACUGGUCGAGUCGGCCUGCGCGGAAGAUGUAACGGGGCUAAACCAUGCACCGAAGCUGCGGCAGCGACACUAUGUGUUGUUGGGUAGGGGAGCGUUCUGUAAGCCUGUGAAGGUGUGCUGUGAGGCAUGCUGGAGGUAUCAGAAGUGCGAAUGCUGACAUAAGUAACGAUAAAGCGGGUGAAAAGCCCGCUCGCCGGAAGACCAAGGGUUCCUGUCCAACGUUAAUCGGGGCAGGGUGAGUCGACCCCUAAGGCGAGGCCGAAAGGCGUAGUCGAUGGGAAACAGGUUAAUAUUCCUGUACUUGGUGUUACUGCGAAGGGGGACGGAGAAGGCUAUGUUGGCGGGCGACGGUUGUCCCGGUUUAAGCGUGUAGGCUGGUUUUCCAGGCAAAUCCGGAAAAUCAAGGCUGAGGCGUGAUGACGAGGCACUACGGUGCUGAAGCAACAAAUGCCCUGCUUCCAGGAAAAGCCUCUAAGCAUCAGGUAACAUCAAAUCGUACCCCAAACCGACACAGGUGGUCAGGUAGAGAAUACCAAGGCGCUUGAGAGAACUCGGGUGAAGGAACUAGGCAAAAUGGUGCCGUAACUUCGGGAGAAGGCACGCUGAUAUGUAGGUGAGGUCCCUCGCGGAUGGAGCUGAAAUCAGUCGAAGAUACCAGCUGGCUGCAACUGUUUAUUAAAAACACAGCACUGUGCAAACACGAAAGUGGACGUAUACGGUGUGACGCCUGCCCGGUGCCGGAAGGUUAAUUGAUGGGGUUAGCGCAAGCGAAGCUCUUGAUCGAAGCCCCGUAAACGGCGGUAGUAACUAUAACGGUCCUAAGGUAGCGAAAUUCCUUGUCGGGUAAGUUCCGACCUGCACGAAUGGCGUAAUGAUGGCCAGGCUGUCUCCACCCGAGACUCAGUGAAAUUGAACUCGCUGUGAAGAUGCAGUGUACCCGCGGCAAGACGGAAAGACCCCGUGAACCUUUACUAUAGCUUGACACUGAACAUUGAGCCUUGAUGUGUAGGAUAGGUGGGAGGCUUUGAAGUGUGGACGCCAGUCUGCAUGGAGCCGACCUUGAAAUACCACCCUUUAAUGUUUGAUGUUCUAACGUUGACCCGUAAUCCGGGUUGCGGACAGUGUCUGGUGGGUAGUUUGACUGGGGCGGUCUCCUCCUAAAGAGUAACGGAGGAGCACGAAGGUUGGCUAAUCCUGGUCGGACAUCAGGAGGUUAGUGCAAUGGCAUAAGCCAGCUUGACUGCGAGCGUGACGGCGCGAGCAGGUGCGAAAGCAGGUCAUAGUGAUCCGGUGGUUCUGAAUGGAAGGGCCAUCGCUCAACGGAUAAAAGGUACUCCGGGGAUAACAGGCUGAUACCGCCCAAGAGUUCAUAUCGACGGCGGUGUUUGGCACCUCGAUGUCGGCUCAUCACAUCCUGGGGCUGAAGUAGGUCCCAAGGGUAUGGCUGUUCGCCAUUUAAAGUGGUACGCGAGCUGGGUUUAGAACGUCGUGAGACAGUUCGGUCCCUAUCUGCCGUGGGCGCUGGAGAACUGAGGGGGCUGCUCCUAGUACGAGAGGACCGGAGUGGACGCAUCACUGGUGUUCGGGUUGUCAUGCCAAUGGCACUGCCCGGUAGCUAAAUGCGGAAGAGAUAAGUGCUGAAAGCAUCUAAGCACGAAACUUGCCCCGAGAUGAGUUCUCCCUGACUCCUUGAGAGUCCUGAAGGAACGUUGAAGACGACGACGUUGAUAGGCCGGGUGUGUAAGCGCAGCGAUGCGUUGAGCUAACCGGUACUAAUGAACCGUGAGGCUUAACCUU
rnacentral:rRNA from 1 species